rnacentral:rRNA from 1 species
AUUAGGCUUUUAAUUGGGGUCUUGUAUGAAUGGCCGGACAAGAAGCUAACUGUCUCGAGAGUAAAAAUUGAAAUUGACUUUCAGGUGAAAAGGCUUGAAUAUUUUAAAGGGACGAUAAGACCCUAUAAAGCUUAAUAAUUUAUAUAUAUUUAGAUAAUUUAUUAGUAUAAUAUAAUUUAAUUUAUAAAUUAUUUCGUUGGGGCGACGGUAAUAUAAUUUGUAACUGUUUAAGUAUUUAAUUCAAAAAUAUUUGUGUUUAGUGAUCUGUUAUUGACAAUUAAAAGUUAAAGUUACUUUAGGGAUAACAGCGUUAUUUAUUUUGAGAGUUCAUAUCGACAAAGAAGUUUGCGACCUCGAUGUUGAAUUAAAAUUUUAUCGUGGCGUAGCAGUUAAGAUAGUAGGUCUGUUCGACCUUUAAAAUUUUA